AUACGGAGGGUGCGAGCGUUAAUCGGAAUUACUGGGCGUAAAGCGUGCGUAGGCGGUUUGUUAAGUCAGAAGUGAAAGCCCUGGGCUCAACCUGGGAACGGCUUUUGAGACUGGCAGACUAGAGUUGAGUAGAGGGGAGUGGAAUUUCCGGUGUAGCGGUGAAAUGCGUAGAGAUCGGAAGGAACACCAGUGGCGAAGGCGACUCCCUGGACUCAACCUGACGCUGAGGUACGAAAGCGUGGGUAGCAAACAGGAUUAGAAACCCUAGUAGUCC
rnacentral:rRNA from 1 species